CCAGAUUCCACUGCUCGGUCACCUUGACUGGCAGACCUUUGUUUGACUGCCAAGAAGCCCUUUUGUUGGUGUCCUCUCUUUCUGCCAGGAUAUUUCUCUGCUGAUGUCGCCACCAUGGAAAGGUCUAGGUCUCUGUGUGUAAGAUAGCUGGUAAUAUCUGUUCAGAGAUGAAGGAAAUUUCCAAAGCUCUGCAAGACAGAUAAUACUAUCGUCACCCUCGCUGAUGCACAGACAGAAGCGACUGAGGGUAAGUACC